UGGGGAAUAUUGGACAAUGGGCGCAAGCCUGAUCCAGCCAUGCCGCGUGUGUGAAGAAGGCCUUCGGGUUGUAAAGCACUUUUGUUGGGGCAGAAAAGCCAUGGGCUAAUACCCUGUGGUUCUGACGGUACCCAAAGAAUAAGCACCGGCUAACUUCGUGCCAGCAGCCGCGGUAAUACGAAGGGUGCAAGCGUUACUCGGAAUUACUGGGCGUAAAGCGUGCGUAGGUGGUUUGUUAAGUCUGAUGUGAAAGCCCUGGGCUCAACCUGGGAAUGGCAUUGGAAACUGGCUGACUGGAGUGCGGUAGAGGGUAGUGGAAUUCCCGGUGUAGCAGUGAAAUGCGUAGAUAUCGGGAGGAACAUCCGUGGCGAAGGCGACUACCUGGACCAGCACUGACAUUGAGGCACGAAAGCGUGGGGAGCAAA
rnacentral:rRNA from 1 species